ACUUGCACUGAAUUAUGGCGCUUACUGAGGAUGUUAUUUUUGGCAGCUUACUUUUUGAAAGCGAUGAAGAUGAGACUACAGAUUCAUCUUCCGAUUUUGAUAAUGAAGUAGUGGGUGCAAUAGUUUCAUCAGCAAGGACAGAGCGAAACGCUAUAAAAAAUUACAGUGAAAUCACUGUAGUGAGUUACAAUGAUAAUGAGUUUAAAACUCAUUUUAGAAUUUCAAAGGAGCUAAUGAACAGUUUGACAGAACGUUUUACUGAAAGCCAUAUUUUCUUACAACAUUUUCAUACAAAAGGAAAGGAUGUAGUUGAACCAAAAAAACAUUUGGAAAUCUUUCUGUGGUAUGUAGGCCACUCCUGUACAUAUGUAGAUGUUGGUGAUCGGUUCAACAUCACAGUAUCGACGUUAUUUGAAAUAAUGAAGUCGUAUGAAUGCGUUUUUUGAUGAAAUGGCUGCAGAAGUCAUUAAGUGGCCUUCACAACAAGAAAUACAGCAGACCAGUUCAGAAGUUUUCAGAAGAACACGUUUUCCAGGUGUCGUUGGUGAGAUCACUAAAAUGGGACACAUAUUAAAAUCGACAAGCCUACAAAACAUCAGGAAUCUUAUUGCAACAGGAAGCAUUACCAUUCGAUACAGGUGCAAAUCAUAUGUGACGACAAAUGCAAAUUAAUAGAUGUUUUUAUUGGGUAUCCAGGUUCUGUGCAUGAUGCACGUGUCUUCUCAUCAAGUUUUAUAUAUCCACAACUAUCAGAAUUAUGUCAAGAUGGACAUCUUUUAGGAGAUUCGGCUUAUCCAUGCCUGGAUUUCUGCCUUACUCCUUACAAAGAUAAUGGCCAUCUUAAUAGAAUGCAAACACGCUAUAACAAAGUGCAUAGCUCACUAAGAAUCAAAGUGGAACAUGCAAAUGGCAUUCUCAAGCAACGAUUUCGUCAGUUGUACCAUGUAAAACUACGAAAAAUUGAACGAGUUGUUGCCCUGGUUAAAUCGUGUUGUGUGUUACAUAAUUUAUGUCAAAUACAAGAUAAAUUGUUGUUUGAUUGUGAACAUAAUCCAUUGGAUAUAACUGCCAUAGAAGAUGAAAAUGUCGCUGGUGCAGCAAAAAGAAAUUAUAUUGCAAGUGUGAUAUAAAGAAUGUGUACUUAAUUUAUUUCAUUAUAUAAGUCAUUAUACUUAAAUAUUACAUAUUACUUAACACAACAUGAGCAAUUUAAAUCUCCGACUUCUCCUUCUCUGCUAAGUAUUUACUCAUUAACUCCAAUUUGCGUUCUAACAAUUCAUUUUUCUUUU